UACAGAGGUCUCAAGCGUUGUUCGGAUUCAUUGGGCGUAAAGGGCGUGUAGGCGGCGCCGUAAGUCGGGUGUGAAAUUUCGGAGCUUAACUCCGAAACUGCAUUCGAUACUGCGGUGCUUGAGGACUGGAGAGGAGACUGGAAUUCAUGGUGUAGCAGUGAAAUGCGUAGAGAUCAUGAGGAAGACCAGUGGCGAAGGCGGGUCUCUGGACAGUUCCUGACGCUGAGGCACGAAGGCCAGGGGAGCAAACGGG
rnacentral:rRNA from 1 species